rnacentral:rRNA from 1 species
UACGUAGGGGACCGAGCGUUUGUCCGGAAUCAUUGGGCGUAAAGAGCGUGUAGGCGGCCACUUAAGUCCUGCGUGAAAUCUUGCGGCUCAACCGCAAGCGGUCGUGGGAAACUGGGUGGCUAGAGUGCGGGAGAGGAGAGUGGAAUUCCUGGUGUAGCGGUGGAAUGCGCAGAUAUCAGGAAGAACACCCGUGGCGAAGGCAGCUCUCUGGAACGCAACUGACGCUGAGACGCGAAAGCGUGGGGAGCAAACAGGG